AAUCAACGCUGGCGGCGUGCCUAACACAUGCAAGUCGAACGCGAAAGGGGCUUCGGCCCCGAGUAGAGUGGCGUCCGGGUGAGUAACACGUGGGUAAUCUACCUGCGGGUGGGGAAUAACUCGCCGAAAGGUGAGCUAAUACCGCAUGACGCGAUCAGGGCCUGGGCCCUGGUCGUUAAAGCGGGGGACCUUAGGGCCUCGCGCCCGCAGAGGAGCCCGCGGCCGAUUAGCUAGUUGGUGAGGUAACGGCCCACCAAGGCCGCGAUCGGUAGCUGGUCUGAGAGGACGGCCAGCCACACUGGCACUGACACACGGGCCAGACUCCUACGGGAGGCAGCAGUGGGGAAUUUUGGGCAAUGGGCGAAAGCCUGACCCAGCAACGCCGCGUGAGGGAGGAAAUCCUUCGGGAUGUAAACCUCACAAGUAAGGGAAGAGCGUGCGCGGGCCAACACCCCGCGCGCCCGACGGUACCUUACGUAAGCCACGGCUAACUACGUGCCAGCAGCCGCGGUAAUACGUAGGUGGCG
rnacentral:rRNA from 1 species